rnacentral:rRNA from 1 species
AAUGAUUUUAAUGGGUAGUUGGUGUUCUCAUUUCACAUAAAAUAUAUAUACAUAUGUAUUAAAUAUAUUAGAAAUUUUAACACAUUUCUAAUAAAUGAAAAUAUAUUUAUAUUAUACAACCUCAACUCAUAUGGGACUACCCCCUGAUUUAAGCAUAUUAAUUAGGGGAGGAAAAGAAACUAACAAGGAUUUUCUUAGUAGCGGCGAGCGAAAAAGAAAACAGUUCAGCACUAAGUCACUUUGUCUAUAUGGCAAAUGUGAGAUGCAGUGUAUGGAACAUCUAUAUUCUAGUAUGAGAAAUUAACGAUUUAAGUCUUCUAAAUGAGGCCAUUUACCCAUAGAGGGUGCCAGGCCCGUAUAACGUUAAUGAUUACUAGAUGAUGAUUUCCAAAGAGUCGUGUUGCUUGAUAGUGCAGCACUAAGUGGGUGGUAAACUCCAUCUAAAACUAAAUAUAACCAUGAGACCGAUAGUAAACAAGUACCGUGAGGGAAAGUUGAAAAGAACUCUGAAAUAGAGAGUUAAAUAGUACGUGAAACUGCUUAGAGGUUAAGCCCGAUGAACCUGAAUAUCCAUUAUGGGAAAUUCAUCAUUAUAAUUAUAAUAUUUAAUAAUAAAUUAUUAAUAAUAGUGUGCAUUUUCCCAUAUAAGGACAUUGUAAUCUAUUAGCAUAUACAAAAAUUUAUCAUAAAAUAUGGCUUAUAGUUUAUUCAAAUUAUUAUGGCUUGCCCAUUGAUAACAUAGAAUAAAUGUCAUUAAAUUGAUAAAGUGCUGAUAGAUUGAUAUGAAAUACAGUGUGUUAAUUUUCGAAAUUAUAUAAUGAUAUUUUAUCUAUGAUUUAUAUUUAUUAUAGGCACUUGUAUGAUAACAAUGCGAAAGAUUCAGGAUACCUUCGGGACCCGUCUUGAAACACGGACCAAGGAGUCUUAACAUAUAUGCAAGUCAUUGGGAUUUAUUUUAUAAACCUAAUGGCGUAAUUAACUUGACUACCAAUACAAAUGGGAUUAGUUUUAAAUUAUUUAUAUAGUUUAUUAAUUCAAUCCCGGGGCGCUCUAUAUAGUUAUGUAUAAUAAUAUUAUAUUAUUUAUACCUCUAACUGGAACGUACCUUGAGCAUAUAUGCUGUGACCCGAAAGAUGGUGAACUAUACUUGAUCAGGUUGAAGUCAGGGGAAACCCGAUGGAAGACCGAAACAGUUCUGACGUGCAAAUCGAUUGUCAGAAUUGAGUAUAGGGCGAAAGACCAAUCGAACCAUCUAGUAGCUGGUUCCUUCCGAAGUUUCCCUCAGGAUAGCUGGUGGCAUUUAUAUAUUGCAUAAAAUAAUCUUAUCUGGUAAAGCGAAUGAUUAGAGGCCUUAGGGUCGAAACGAUCUUAACCUAUUCUCAAACUUAAAAUGGGUAAGAACCUUAACUUUCUUGAAAUGAAGUUUAAGGUUAUGAUAUAAUGUGCCCAGUGGGCCACUUUUGGUAAGCAGAACUGGCGCUGUGGAUGAACCAAACGUAAUGUUACGGUGCCCAAAUUAACAACUCAUGCAGAUACCAUGAAAGGCGUUGGUUGCUUAAAACAGCAGGACGGUGGACAUGGAAGUCGUAAUCCGCUAAGGAGUGUGUAAAACUCACCUGCCGAAGCAACUAGCCCUUAAAAUGGAUGGCGCUUAAGUUGUAUACCUAUACAUUACCGCUAAAGUAAAUGAUUCAUAUUUAUAAAAAAUAUAAAUUUUGAAACUUUAGUGAGUAGGAAGGUACAAUGGUGUGCGUAGAAGUGUUUGGCGUAAGCCUGCAUGGAGCCGCCAUUGGUACAGAUCUUGGUGGUAGUAGCAAAUAAUCGAAUGAGACCUUGGAGGACUGAAGUGGAGAAGGGUUUCGUGUGAACAGUGGUUGAUCACGAGUUAGUCGGUCCUAAGUUCAAGGCGAAAGCCGAAAAUUUUCAAGUAAAAAUAUAUAUAUAUAUACACAAACAUACAUAUUAUUAUUGAUACACUUGAAUAAUUUUGAACGAAAGGGAAUACGGUUCCAAUUCCGUAACCUGUUGAGUAUCCGUUUGUUAUUAAAUAUGGGCCUUGUGCUCAUCCUGGCAACAGGAACGACCAUAAAGAAGCCGUCGAGAGAUAUCGGAAGAGUUUUCUUUUCUGUUUUAUAGCCGUACUACCAUGGAAGUCUUUCGCAGAGAGAUAUGGUAGAUGGGCUAGAAGAGCAUGACAUAUACUGUUGUGUCGAUAUUUUCUCCUCGGACCUUGAAAAUUUAUGGUGGGGACACGCAAACUUCUCAACAGGCCGUACCAAUAUCCGCAGCUGGUCUCCAAGGUGAAGAGUCUCUAGUCGAUGGAAUAAUGUAGGUAAGGGAAGUCGGCAAAUUAGAUCCGUAACUUCGGGAUAAGGAUUGGCUCUGAAGAUUGAGAUAAUCGGGCUUGAUUGGGAAACAAUAACAUGGUUUAUGUUCUCGUUCUGGGUAAAUAGAAUUUCGAUUAUUUUUAAUGAUCGUCAUUUGUUCCCCGGAUUGUUAGUUACGUAGCCAAUUGUGGAACUUUCUUGCUAAAAUUUUAAGAAUACUAAUCUGGAGGGGUUAAACCUUUCAGUUUUAGCUCUUUUAAAUUAUAACGAUUAUCAAUUAACAAUCAAUUCAGAACUGGCACGGACUUGGGGAAUCCGACUGUCUAAUUAAAACAAAGCAUUGUGAUGGCCCUAGCGGGUGUGUUGACACAAUGUGAUUUCUGCCCAGUGCUCUGAAUGUCAACGUGAAGAAAUUCAAGUAAGCGCGGGUCAACGGCGGGAGUAACUAUGACUCUCUUAAGGUAGCCAAAUGCCUCGUCAUCUAAUUAGUGACGCGCAUGAAUGGAUUAACGAGAUUCCUACUGUCCCUAUCUACACAGUUUGCUUUAGACGGUCGUCGCGAGCGGACGUGUGAUUUCGGUGCGCGCAUAUAUUUUUUGAAAGUGAGUUUGCAUCAGCAAGUGCCAAGUGACAAUCAGCGACAAGUAAACAAGUUGUUUAUGUUUAUGACAAACAGCGUUCUAAAAAUAGAACAAGCAGAUAAGAGACUGCAAUAGUGUGCGUAUACGUGUAAGUGCACUCGCGGAAAAAAAACUGAGAGCACCAACAUGGUGCGAACCCGGUCUAAUAGCCGGUUGCAGCAACAACAACAACAGUUGUAAUGACGUGGAGAUGGCCGAUGACCAUCUCCACGAGCGGGACAACAAUCGAGGUGGUGGUAAAGCCACUCGCGAGCGGUCCAAAACGCGAAAGGGUGGCGACAGAGGGCUGAACACGGCGUCGCCAGCGGAUUGCGAGGCAGAGGAUGUUUCGCCUACCAAGAAGAGGAUUAGGGAGAAGGCAGGUGUAGCAGCCUCCUCCUCCUCGUCCCCUGACUUGGAUGACGGAGCAACUGCGUCGCAAUGGGUUGCCGACGUCGCCGCCGCCAAUUCUGCCGCCAACUCUGCUGCCAACGCUGUCGCCGCCGACAGCGCCGUCGCGAUAAGUACCGCGUCGCUCGCUGCCGACAAAGCCGCCGGCACCAAUGCCGAGGGAGUUACCGCGAAGCCGGCCACUGACGCCGCUGCCGCCACCGCUGCCGCCGCGAAACCGGCUACUAUAGCCGACGCCGCCGUCGCGAAGCCCAAAACGGAGGCUGUAUUUAAGAAGCCGCUGGCACCGACCACCGUCGCGAGGUCGUAUGCCGCAGUCGCAGAGAGGGCGCUGCCCGCUGC